GCAAGGAACGAAGACUUAAUCAGACCGGUGUGGCAGCUGGCCUGACUUAGAAAUCUCAUACCCAUCAGGAGCCAGUAUUUCUUGUAACAACUUCACCGGCUUAGCUUCCAGGAGCCCCAGCAGAGCCCAGUUAAAGCCUUCACCCUCAGGGAAGCCCAAGGCCACGCUCCCCCAUCAGGUCUCUAUAGUGCGCCAGGCCAGACGCAAUUUACCAGCCACGUGAUUGCUUUCAUCUAAAUACGUUUGCCUGACGACAUAGUUGACAUUCUAUAUUACGUUUCAGAGAAACAGAUAAGAAAGUAAACUGAAGGUCAAAUUGUCAUGCAGUAGAGUAAUUACAUUCCAUUUUAAAGAUAAUAUAAUUUACAGUGAGAUUUAAAGAACCACAAAUACAUAGCCUACCUUCUUCUACUACAAGCUUUACAAAGCCUUUCAUUGUCCAUGAGGCAACUUGGUGUGAAUUAGAAAAAGACACCAAACUCAAGGCUUGAAGAAUGGAUGGCCGACUCUACAAUUCAUCUGGAAGAGCUGUUGAGCAAGGACGCCCAAAUUUGGAAAAGAAGAGCAAAGGAAGCAACAUGCAUUUUUAAUAUCCAUGAGGGGGAAAAAAACCCUUGGGAUUCGAAUUGGGAUUGUGUUAAAUAAACAGAUUAAUUUGGAGAGAAUUGACAUUUUUUUAACACUGGAUCUCUUUUAUAUGAUCAUAGAACUUAUCUAUUCAUAUUUUCUUUUUUGCCCUUUAAUAAAGUUUCAGAGUUUUCUUCAUAUAGAGCUUACACAUUUCUUACGUUUACCUCCAGAUGUUUCUUAGGUUUGGCUGCUGUUGUGAACAGUUUUUUUCUAUUUUUCAAAGCUAUUGAUUUAUUCCAUGUUAAUCUUUAAUCCACUCAUUUCACUGAUCUCUCGUACUAGUUCUAAUGGCUUUUACUUGAGAUAAAUUCCACACAUAUAUUAAAUAUAUAAUGCAAUCAGUUUUGAUAAAUCUAUACCCUUGUGAAACAAGACCCUCUCAAGAUAGUUCUAAUAGUUAUCUUUUAAAGAAGAUUUUCUAGGAUUUCUUAAACUGUAAUAUAUUGUCAGCUAAU
rnacentral:lncRNA from 1 species